GACAGAGGGUGCAAACGUUGUUCGGAAUUACUGGGCGUAAAGCGCGUGUAGGCGGCCCUGCAAGUCGGGUGUGAAAUCCCUGGGCUCAACCCAGGAACUGCGUCCGAGACUGGUGGGCUCGAAUCCGGGAGAGGGAUGUGGAAUUCCAGGUGUAGCGGUGAAAUGCGUAGAUAUCUGGAGGAACACCGGUGGCGAAGGCGACAUCCUGGACCGGUAUUGACGCUGAGGCGCGAAAGCCAGGGGAGCAAACAGG
rnacentral:rRNA from 1 species